rfam:Labrenzia alba strain CECT 5096 genome assembly, contig: 0015
UCGCCGACAGCAAGUUGCCGGACAUGCAGGCCGGCUGGGAACAGGGCAUCAGCAAUGUCAUGGCCGGGUUGUCCGGUCUCAACAUGGUCUACGAGGCUG